rnacentral:lncRNA from 11 species
CAUGGAUCUAUUUAAGGCAGACUGACUGUUCUUAAGGUGGCUUAAAGAGAGGUUCUAAAUAUGUUUACCCUCGGAUGUAAAGCCCUUGGUGUUUGACAAAACGUAUUAUCAGCCCUCUCCCUCAUUUUCCACGUUGUCAAAUGUUGUAGUAUGAACUCACAGAGAAGAGGUCCAGUGAAAUGAUAAUGCAACUUUCAUAUUGAGGAAGUCAC